UUGACCUCAAAUCAGGUAGGACUACCCGCUGAACUUAAGCAUAUCAAUAAGCGGAGGAAAAGAAACUAACAAGGAUUCCCUUAGUAACUGCGAGUGAAGAGGGAAAAGCUCAAAUUUAAAAUCUGGCAGUGUUUCACUGUCCGAGUUGUAACCUAGAGAAGUGUAACCUGUGCUGGACCGUGUAUAAGUUUCCUGGAAUGGAGCAUCACAGAGGGUGAGAAUCCCGUCUUUGACAUGGACUACCAGUGCAUUGUGGUUGUGCUCUCAACGAGUCGAGUUGUUUGGGAAUGCAGCUCUAAAUGGGUGGUAAAUUCCAUCUAAAGCUAAAUAUUGGCGAGAGACCGAUAGCGAACAAGUACCGUGAGGGAAAGAUGAAAAGAACUUUGGAAAGAGAGUUAAACAGUAUGUGAAAUUGUUGAAAGGGAAACGUUUGAAGUCAGUCGCGUUAGCUGGGGAUCAGCCUGACAUUGUUGGGUGCACUUCCUGGUUGACGGGCCAACAUCAGUUUUGACUGCCAGAAAAAGGCCAAGGGAAUGUGGCACCUUUGGGUGUGUUAUAGCCUUUGGUCAUAUAUGGUGGUUGGGACUGAGGAACGCAGUGUGCCGAAAGGCCGGGUUUCGACCACGUUCACACUGAGGAUGUUGGCAUAAUGGCUUUAAGCGACCCGUCUUGAAACACGGACCAAGGAGUCUAACAUGCAUGCGAGUGUUUGGGUGGAAAACCCUUACGCGUAAUGAAAGUGAAAGUUGAGAUCCCUGUCGUGGGGAGCAUCGACGCCCGGACCAGAACUUUUGUGACGGAUCUGCGGUAGAGCACGUAUGUUGGGACCCGAAAGAUGGUGAACUAUGCCUGAAUAGGGUGAAGCCAGAGGAAACUCUGGUGGAGGCUCGUAGCGAUUCUGACGUGCAAAUCGAUCGUCAAAUUUGGGUAUAGGGGCGAAAGAC
rnacentral:rRNA from 1 species